CCGGCAGCCCUCACCCAGCCUGUGCCUUCGUCAGUGCAUGGAGUGAAAAAUGUGUCUGCUCUCAAUUGGCUUCUUUUUCUUUUUUUUUUCCAUGCAAAGGCACUAGUAAUGCUUCAGUUUUUACUUUCUAAUUCAUCCCAUGUGUGUUCUGAACUGCCAGCGGCCUGACAAAGCCUAGUGCAGAGUUACUCAUUGUAAUCCUCUCCACAAAAAGAGCAGCCCAAAAAACUAAAGAGACAACUAACCAGAAGAACUCCAGUGAACAAUCUGUGUUUUUGUUAAUUGAGCUUCUCCAAUUUUUAAAUUCAAAGAUUAAUAAUCUGUUGGUAAUAUUAAGCAAAAUGACCUGAACUUCCCAUGGCUACCAUAAUUACGGAUACCGUAACAAUUGUUACAGAAUCACAGAAUUGUUUGAGUUGGAAGGGACCCUUAGAGGCCAUCUGGUCCAACCCCCUGCAAUGAACAGGGACUCCACAGCUCCAUCAGUGCUCAGAGCCCCUCCAGCGUGACAUCAUGUGUCUCUGCAGGGAUGGGGCACCUUUGGGUAACCUGCACCAAUGUCUCACCACUUCUAUUGCAAGGAACUUCUACUUUAGAUCCAACCUAAAUCUUCCUCUUCUAGUCUGAAACCAUUUCCCCCUGUCCUAUCACAACAGACCCUGCUAAAAGGUCUGUCUCCUCCUUUCCCUUAGCCCCCUUUAGACAUUGACUCUGCUUUGGGGUGCCACUGAUACUCAUUGCAGUGUUUCAAGUUGUUUGCUUCAGUAUCUAGAUCUGUCUGGGAAGCAAGUCCAGCUAUGAAAAGCAUGAUCUCUCUGACCGUUCCCUGCUGCAAGAGCUCAGUACUCUCUUAUCUUCCCCUGAAUACGGGGUCAUGGUCAUAGUAGCUGAACCUGCUUCCCUUCCCUUCCCUGCCUGUACUGAAGAGCAUACAUUAUCUGAAAUCGAACAUUGCCUAAUAUUUGCAUUUCAUGUGGAACCUUGAGCUGCCAAACAGCACGUCAAUAUAUGAAUGGAGAAAGCAGUGCUAAGGAUCUUGUAUUUAAGAUCUGUCAUUCUGUGGAAAUACAGAGUACUUCAAAUACGUCAGAUUCACCCUUGCCACAAGGCUUCAACUGGAAGUGACGGUAACUGGAAGAUACAAGUUACAAGGGAAAAGAAAGAGCAACCUUCCUCCCCCCUUGCUAUCAGCUGUCAGAAUCAGCAGCAGUUCUAACUUCCCAAUCCUUAUAGGGAUUUGCACUGGAGUUUUACUGGAGUUUAAUAUAUGGUGACAGCAAUACUAUCGGAGUGAAACCUUGUGAGGCCUGACAUCUAUUUUAAAAGCACAAAGAGACAGCCUCUGUGCAGGAACUGUGUAGAAACCUAAUGCCACAAAACAAAGAAAUGGACUCAGAGCCUUUUCAUUGCCUUUCUGGUGGUGCUGGCUGUAGAGCAGCUUGGAUCAUCAAACACAUCGUGUCGUCUUCAGAGCAAUGGGGAAAGAGUAUCUUCAUGGGCACAAAUAAAGAAGGCGGGAUUAAAGAAAAAAAUCCCAAGCACUUUUUUUCAGAAUCACCACUAUCGUUAGGGUUUUUUUCCCCCCUUUUACUGUACAUGAGCUACUGUUAGAUUGCUGUUUGGGUUUUUUGUUUGUUUUUUGCUGCUGUAGAUUGAUUUUCUAAAAAGCGGGGGAAAACGCAACUAAAUAUUUAAGGGAACCUUUGGCCGUGGAGAAGUCUGACUGGGUUUCUCAUGCUAAGGAAUCUCUUGCCAAAGAACCUGACCUGAGGCUUGUUGAUGCACAAAUGCCGACACGUGCCACCACCCCAUCCUGCUUAGUCUACAAGUCAAACCUGCUGCCUCUGUUUGCCCAGAUUUCACAAUCGCUUUUAUGAUUGUGAAUCUUCAGAGAGAAGUUCAUUGGCCUACAAAAUAAGAUUGUUCAAUGGCUCCAGUGUGGGACAGCUGGGUGUAGUGAAUGCCACUAGAAACGUCUUCUUUCUUGUCUUUCCUUCCUUGUACACCUUGUCAUUUAACAGACCUCGGGCUCAGAUUUGCAGAACGUUGCAUGGAAUUUGCAGAUGGAGAAGAUGACCACUGCUUCAUUUGCUGCACAGAGAGUUGUGUCUCUGUCAGCUUAUAGGAGCUUGUGCAAACCUGCCUCCGUGUGCAAGCAGCUUGUCCCAAACCCAGAGGAGAAGGAAGACAGGCAUUUCUGGAGAGAGCCCAGCCAGGGUAAGAGAGACAGCUGUCACCCACCCAGCUACACUUUGCUUUAAUUCCACCCUCACUGCUCACAGCCAUGCUGCUGGUAUUAUAGCAAACGGCACUGGGCAACGUAAAGGAAAAUAAGGACAAAACAAAUAAUGUUAAGCUGUCCUGAACUUCUUCAAUGUGAGCAAUCCAUGGACUUGAACAACCUUCUGCAGGACGCCUUGACAUCUCCAGUGUGGAAAUCCAAGUGGUGCUCCUGGGCUGGUGCUAAGCUGCUGAUUGGAGCAGGCCCUGGUGCCAGGCAUGUGAAGGCCUAGAUGUGGUGCAUCCAACUUGCUUAGAAAGCCCAUCAAACAGCAGUUAUAAAGUUCUCAUCUGGCAAUGGCACGCUGCCCAGGGAGGUGCUGGGAUCACCGUUCCUGGAGAUGCUCAAGAACCGCGGAGGUAUGGUACUGAGGGACGUGGUUACUGGGCAUGGGGGGAUGAGCUGAUAGUCAGACCUGAUGAUCUUAGAGGUUUUCUCCUACCAUGAUGAUUCUGUGAUUCUAUCUUCACAUUAAUUUAGCCUGUAAUAGAGCCAGCUUCUUCUGCUCUGUUUUGGCAAGUGCUACAAAUUCACAUAUGGUAAAUAUAGUAGUGAAGAAUUGCAUGAACUUUUCUCUUCAAAUCAAGUGCUAUGCAAGUUCCAUUCAGGUAAUUAUUGCCUUCCGAUUGCUACCUAAUACGUAUAUUGUAUAUUUCCUGGGACACAGGAAGAUAUGUUUGUAACACAGGUUCACACCAAGGAAAUACUAAACUGAUAUAUUUCACCAUGGGAUAUGGAGGUGACGUUUGCUAAGUGUAGCCAACUGAAGAGAUGCAGUGUGAUGGGGAAAGGGGAGCUACUCAAAAUACAUUGCUGAAUAACCUCUCGCUCUGUACUGAUUUGCAGCAGCACUGAGCUGCAGUUGCUGGUCAUGGCUCCUUUACUUGGAGUGAAAGCAGUAACUACCUGGCAGUCAGAGAGCAGCCUAGGUAAUAAAAGCACUGAAGGACUGCCUCAUUUCUUCUGCUUCAUUUCAGUGGUUGUGAGUAGCUGUCCUUUAUGUCCUGCUGGCUUGCAGUGGUAGGGAACAUUUGCAAAGUCACCUUGAGCUACUGCUGAGCUCCCAAGAUUUGGCCAUGCAGUUUCUGUUUUGCUGACAGCAGAAGCAUGCAGCAGAGCAAAGGCUGCAGAUCCACAGAAGUUUUACAGUCCACUUAAAUCUGGAAAGGAGAUGUUGCUGCCUUAAUAGUUUUUAAUCCCUGCAAUUAAGCCCCUCCAGUCCAGAUCACUUGGAAAAUGCAACAGUGAUAACCAUCAGGAGCUGUGCUGGGAGCAGUGGUGCUUGUAUAACAUUUGCUGCCCACCUCACUGGGUAUGCAGUGCUCCCAGGCAUGGCCCAGCUGUGGAAAAAGCCCUGUGCCUCAGUUCUCCAUUUCCCAGAUUUCAGAAGCAGCAAAGGAAAACAAUGCCACGGAAAUAAUGGAGGGGAAGGCUCUUAACAUACAGACAUUAGCACUGCUCCUACAACCUACAACAGCAACCUACUGAGAAGACCAGGUGCUGAUCACCUUUCCAAAGCUCAUUUGUGAUGCUGAGUUUCAUUACGUACAUAAAGUUUUUUUGUUUGGUUGGUUUUGUUUUAAUGUUAAGUGUUCUUAUUUAAGCGAUUCAUCUUGUGCAAGUUCACCAGGCAAAGUCUCUUCAUUUUACUAGGAGUGAUAAGGACACCAUAUAUAAUUUUUAAAUGCUCAGAAUGGAGGCCAGCAGCCACACAGAUCAGCAAAUGUGAAAUUGGAGUGUGAAAGCAGAGACAUCAGCCACAUGAAACGUAACAUGCACUUCCAUCUAUACUGAGAAAGGGAGCGGAGAUCAGCAAUUUCAUUGCACACCCCAUCAGCCCACAGCCCUCACGCGGCAAACCACUGAUUUCAGUCAUCUCUCUGUCACAUCAAAAGGGGAGGACACUAACAGAGAAGGUUCUGCAUUAGGAUCAGGCCUUUUUCAGACUCUUUGCAUAGUGAUGGAUGACCAUGGCAUUCUGCAUGGCUCUUUGAGAAGUCCAUACGAGUGCUUAAUGUGCCUUGGAGAUUGUAACACAACAGAAAGCACGACAAUGACAGCAAAGCAGCAAGGUUCUAGACUGCAACAAGCGAGGAUUUGCUGAGACACCACAGCCACAAAGCAAAGAGGCUGCUUACCUUUGGAAGAUCUCAAGUAUGCAGGGAUCUCCAGCAAGAUGCCCUCACCUCCACUGCAAACCCUUAAAUGUGGUCUGGGAAGGGGUAGAGCCAGGAUCCACCCCUUCUGGUCAUUCAGAUGUAUUGCACGCACCUGAACUCCACUGGGCUAGCCCUGCCUUCCCCCCAGGUGCUCAAUCACUGCUUCAGGCCAUGAUUUAACAUUGCUGCUACAGAGGCUGACUAAGCUACUCAUACAGAGAUAAUUGCAUCUUUGCUAUAACGAUCACUUGUGUUACGUGUGGUUAUCCAAAUAUGUGCCACGAUCCUGAACAGCUUUCUACUGCAGCCAUCCACAAGC